CGUAUAUUAAAGUUGUUGCAGUUAAAAAGCUCGUAGUUGGAUUUGUGGCGGUCGCAUGCGNCCCGGCACUCGUGUCGGUGUUUGCUAGCGUCGCCAUCCUUGGGUGGAACCUGUGUGGCAUUAGGUUGUCGUGCAGGGGAUGCCCAUCAUUUACUGUGAAAAAAUUAGAGUGUUCAAAGCAGGCUUAUGCCGUUGAAUAUAUUAGCAUGGAAUAAUAAGAUAGGACCUUGGUACUAUUUUGUUGGUUUGCGCACCAAGGUAAUGAUUAAUAGGGACAGUUGGGGG
rnacentral:rRNA from 1 species